GGGGGUGUUUUGGUUUCGACAGAAUUGACUUUGAUACAAAACGCGAGUCGAGGAGCUGCCUGGCCUCGUAAAAAGGCAGAAAAACAUAAAUGGCAAUAACGCUAUUAAAUUUGACCCACGUCAAAGCCAAGCUCUAGCUGCUUAAUUAAGUUGCUAGCCGUGACUGGAUAAUGUUGGAUAAUCCAGAAGCGCUAAAAACCAACUAGUUUUGUGUAGUGAUUAAAUACAUAAAAUGAAACUUUUUUAAUCUCGUUUUAUAAUAGUUUGUCUUUGGACGGUUAUGGAAUUAAAUUAAAAUAAAGACUACGCUCGUAGUGGUUUGUGUUGUUGCAGUUUUGGACAGCGGUUCAACUCCGCUCACCUCCACCA
rnacentral:tmRNA from 1 species